rnacentral:snRNA from 1 species
UCUCCCGGAUGAGAGCGA